UACGUAGGGCGCAAGCGUUGUCCGGAAUUAUUGGGCGUAAAGAGCUCGUAGGCGGCCUGUUGCGUCCGCUGUGAAAUCCCGGGGCUCAACCCCGGGCCUGCAGUGGAUACGGGCUGGCUGGAGGCAGGCAGGGGAGAACGGAAUUCCUGGUGUAGCGGUGAAAUGCGCAGAUAUCAGGAGGAACACCGGUGGCGAAGGCGGCUCUCUGGGCCUGUACUGACGCUGAGGAGCGAAAGCGUGGGGAGCGAACAGG
rnacentral:rRNA from 1 species